rnacentral:rRNA from 11 species
GUUUAUUUAUUCUAGACCUGAAGACACCGGAUCCUGUCUGAUCUUGGAAGCUAAGGAGGAUCAGCUCUGGUUAUUACUUGGAUGGGAGACUAUCAAUGAAUACAAAAUGCUAUAGACC